rnacentral:miRNA from 1 species
UGGACUGUCUAACCUGAGAAUG